AUUGAACGCUGGCGGCAUGCCUUACACAUGCAAGUCGAACGGUAACGGGCCUUCGGGUGCCGACGAGUGGCGAACGGGUGAGUAAUACAUCGGAACGUGCCCGAUCGUGGGGGAUAACGAGGCGAAAGCUUUGCUAAUACCUCAUACGAUCUAUGGAUGAAAGCAGGGGACCGCUAGGCAUUGCGCGGCCCGAGCGUACGCUAGCACAUUAGGUCGUUGGUGGGAUAAAAGCUUACCAUGCCGACGACCUGCACCUCGUCUGUGAGGAUGAUCAGCCACACUGGGACUGAGACACGGCCCAGACUCCUACGGGAGGCAGCAGUGGGGAAUUUUGGACAAUGGGCGCAAGCCUGAUCCAGCCAUGCCGCGUGCAGGAUGAAGGCCUUCGGGUUGUAAACUGCUUUUGUCAGGAACGAAAAGCCUUCUUUUAAUACAGGAGGGUCAUGACGGUACCGUAAGAAUAAGCACCGGCUAACUACGUG
rnacentral:rRNA from 1 species